rnacentral:rRNA from 1 species
UAUUAAAAUUGUUGCGUCUAAAAAGCUCGUAGUUUGAAAACUUGCCUUGGCUUACAACAGGUUCCCAUUGGGGGCCACCGUUUGUUGAGAGCAAAUAUCGAUGACUGUUUUUGCCGACUUCAUUGUCCGGCAUGUAAGAGUUAUCAAAUAUCACUUUGAUUAGAUUAGAGUGCUUAAAGCAAGUGUGUUACUUGGAUAUAAAUGCAUGGAAUGAUGGAAUAUGUUGUUGUUCUAUUUGUUGGUUUUUGAACGAUAAAAUGAUUGAAAGGAACUGUUGGGGGCAUUCGUAUUGUUGUGAGAGAGGUGAAAUUCUUAGACCACAGCAAGACGAACUACUGCGAAAGCAUUUGCCAAGAAUGUUUUCAUUGAUCAAGAACGAAAGUUAGAGGUUCGAAGGCGAUCAGAUACCGCCCUAGUUCUAACCAUAAACUAUGCCAACUAGCAAUUUGCUUAUGUUCUUUAUAUGACUAAGUGAGAGGCCACGGGAAACCAAAGUAGGGUUAUGGGGGAAGUAUGGUUGCAAAGCUGAAACUUAAAGGAAUUGACGGAAGGGCACCACCAGGAGUGGAGCCUGCGGCUUAAUUUGACUCAACACGGGAAAACUUACCUGGUCCUGACACUAGAAGGAUUGACAGAUUGAUAGCUCUUUCUUGAUUUGGUGGAUGGUGGUGCAUGGCCGUUCUUAGUUGGUGGAGUGAUUUGUCUGGUUAAUUCCGAUAACGAACGAGACUCUAGCCUAUUAAAUAACACACAGAAUCUCGUCUUCUGUGGUGUUUCUUAAUGGGAUCAAGUGUGUUUAACGCUUUGAAACAGAGCAAUAACAGGUCUGUGAUGCCCUUAGAUGUUCGGGGCCGCACGCGCGCUACAUUGAGAGACAAAAUGAGUUUUCUAGUCUUUAAUAAGGCUAGUAAUCUUUGAAUGUUUUUCUUAAUGGGGAUAGGGGAUUGCAAUUGUGCCCCUUGAACGAGGAAUUCCCAGUAAGUGCUAGUCAUUAGCUAGUACUGAUUACGUCCCUGCCCUUUGUACACACCGCCCGUCGCUACUACCGAUUGAAUGGUUUAGUGAGAUCAUCUGAGUAGAUGUGCACGUACUCUGUAUGUGUAAUGUUUGCAAUGAAGAUCAAACUUGAUCAUUUAGAGGAAGUAAAAGUCGUAACAAGGUUUCCGUAGGUGAACCUGCGG